UCUCUUCACAUCUGUCACAAUACGUAACCUUUCUCAAUGGAGAUACAACGCAACGCUGCUUCGUAGAAUUGCACUUAGUGUGUUGAUAAGUUGCAUGUUUGCACUAAAUACACUUCCAACGCCAUUUUUAUUCCACGUAUUUUACCACGGAUUGCGGUACUUUGUCAAUCUAGUGACUUUACUUUCGCGGUCGCGGCUGUCACGUGUCGCCUUGUGCCACGUUCUUUCCCCGUUAUCGCGAGUUUCGGCGAGAAUUUCGAAUGAAAGGCGGUAUCCGUGUUGUCGGGCUUGAUCGUUGACUCUACACUUUGAUUUCUGGAAAGUGUUAUGAUACGUACCGCGACAUGGCGUCGGAGAAGGAUCUAAUAAAUGCAUUAUUGGCAUGUUUUGAUAAACAACCCACGGUUCCUGCCUUUUCGUGCCUCGCGUCGCAAAUUUGCAGCCGUGAGGGAAUCGUUGAAGGCCGACGGAGAUCUGGACCGCAUGAAGGCGGAAAUGCGCACGGAAGUGAUAAAGCUGCUCGAUUGCUCCAACGCAGAGACCAAGUCCAGAACUGUCGAGCCCUCGCACGAGAUCGUGUUCUUGAACGAGCUCGUCAGGGAGUACCUGGACUGGAUGGGAUACAAGUACAGUUCUACCGUGUUCGUCGCAGAAUGCGACCUGCCGAAGCAUCCACUGGAUCGCGUGCUGCUCACGCAGGGUUUGGGUGUGAGGGACAGUGAGAGAAGCAGGAACCUGCCACUACUGUGUAGCCUCGUGCAGACGUUUACCAACUCGAGGAAGUCCUAGUCGAGGGUUCCGCGCUAGCGGAUGUCGAGCCUCGUCAUUUUUAACUGCUCUUUAUUUCAUUAUUUCAACCUACACAUACGUUAUAUACAAAUCAUUUAAUGUCUUAUAAUAUAUACAAAGAAACCACGCAGACGUGUCAAUCAGCUGGGGAGCUUCUGCACUGUCCAUGAUGGCCAUCAAGAUGCGCUCUUUCUUGCUUCUCUCUUCGUCUUGCACUUUUAAAUUACUAAUAUAUAUAUUUCACAUAUAAUGUAAUAUAUAUUAUAUAUAACAUACAAAUAGUAGUGUUACAUGCAUACAAUUUGCAAGAUUCUAUAUUGUAAAAUAUUAUAAUAGUAUUUAGCAGAUAAAUAAAGUACAUUUACUAUAUAAAGU